CAAACCGCGAAUGGCUCCUUUAAACAGUUAUGGUUCAUUGGAUCUUACCUUAUGGUACUUGGAUAACUGUGGCAAUUCUAGAGCUAAUACAUGCAAGCAAGCCCCGACCGGCGACGGGAAGGGCGCUUUUAUUAGAUCAAAACCAAUCGGGCCUCUCGGGGCCCGUCAACACAGUGGUGACUCUGAUAACUUUGUGCUGAGCGCACGGCCUCCGUGCCGGCGCCGCAUCCUUCAAGUGUCUGCCUUAUCAGCUUUCGAUGGUAGGCCACGCGCCUACCAUGGCUAUAACGGGUAACGGGGAAUCAGGGUUCGAUUCCGGAGAGGGAGCCUGAGAGACGGCUACCACAUCUAAGGAAGGCAGCAGGCACGCAAAUUACCCACUCCCGGCACGGGGAGGUAGUGACGAAAAAUAACGAUGCGGGACUCAUCCGAGGCCUCGCAAUCGGAAUGAGUACACUUUAAAUCCUUGCCAUGAGGAUCUAUUGGAGGGCAAGUCUGGUGCCAGCAGCCGCGGUAAUUCCAGCUCCAAUAGCGUAUAUUAAAGUUGUUGCGGUUAAAAAGCUCGUAGUUGGAUUCGAGUCGCGGAGCGACGGUACACCGCCCGGUGCUUACCGUUCGUCUUCCGGACGUAUGUGUCGGCGUGGCACGGGGUGCUCUUCACCGAGUGUCCCGCGGCCGCCGACGAGUUUACUUUGAAAAAAUUAGA
rnacentral:rRNA from 1 species